rnacentral:rRNA from 1 species
CCUGGGGUAAGGAUGUAGGGCGAGAUGUAGGCAAAUCCGCAUCUCACGUGCCUGAGAUCUGACGCCGAGCCGAUUCAGGUGAAGUGGGUAAUCCUAUGCUGCCAAGAAAAGCCUCUAGCGAGUGUUAAAGCCGCCCGUACCCCAAACCGACACAGGUGGUCAGGUAGAGAAUACUAAGGCGAUCGAGAUAACUAUGGUUAAGGAACUCGGCAAAAUGCCCCCGUAACUUCGGGAGAAGGGGGGCCCGUUCUGGUGAGGAGAUUUACUCUCCGAGCUGGGAUUGGCCGCAGAGACCAGGCCCAAGCGACUGUUUACUAAAAACACAGGUCCAUGCUAAGUCGCAAGACGCUGUAUAUGGACUGACGCCUGCCCGGUGCUGGAACGUUAAGGGGACGGGUUAGCGACUUCGGUCGCGAAGCUCAGAACUUAAGCGCCAGUAAACGGCGGUGGUAACUAUAACCAUCCUAAGGUAGCGAAAUUCCUUGUCGGGUAAGUUCCGACCUGCACGAAUGGCGUAACGACUUGGGCGCUGUCUCAACCGUAGACUCGGCGAAAUUGCACUACGAGUAAAGAUGCUCGUUACGCGCGGCAGGACGGAAAGACCCCGGGACCUUUACUACAGCUUGGUAUUGGUGGUCGAUUCGAUUUGUGUAGGAUAGGUGGGAGACUGUGAACUUCGGACGCCAGUUCGAAGGGAGUCAUCGUUGAAAUACCACUCUGAUCGUAUUGGCUGUCUAACCUAGAUCCGUAAUCCGGAUCAGGGACAGUGCCUGGUGGGUAGUUUAACUGGGGCGGUUGCCUCCUAAAAUGUAACGGAGGCGCUCAAAGGUUCCCUCAGCCUGGUUGGCAAUCAGGUAUCGAGUGUAAGUGCACAAGGGAGCUUGACUGUGAGACUGACGGGUCGAGCAGGGACGAAAGUCGGAACUAGUGAUCCGGCGCUGGCAAGUGGAAGCGGCGUCGCUCAACGGAUAAAAGGUACCCCGGGGAUAACAGGCUGAUCUUGCCCAAGAGUCCAUAUCGACGGCAUGGUUUGGCACCUCGAUGUCGGCUCGUCGCAUCCUGGGGCUGGAGUAGGUCCCAAGGGUUGGGCUGUUCGCCCAUUAAAGCGGCACGCGAGCUGGGUUUAGAACGUCGUGAGACAGUUCGGUCCCUAUCCGCCGCGCGCGUAAGAGUCUUGAGAAGAUCUGUCCCUAGUACGAGAGGACCGGGAUGGACGAACCUCUGGUGUGUCAGUUGUCCUGCCAAGGGCACUGCUGAUUAGCUACGUUCGGAAGAGAUAACCGCUGAAAGCAUCUAAGCGGGAAACUCGCUUCAAGAUGAGGGCUCUCACAGGGUUAACCUGGUAAGGCCCCCAGUAGACCACUGGGUUGAUAGGCCGGAAGUGGAAGUGCGGUAACGCAUGCAGCUGACCGGUACUAAUAGGCCGAGGACUUGACCU